rnacentral:tRNA from 1 species
AGUAUGAGGACUGCGAUAGCAGGUUACUGUGAUAUAGUAAACUUUGGGGCCACCCCCAUGCUA